AUUUCUCAAAAAUAUUCUACGAUCACAUCAAAAUUCAAUAAACACUACCUCAAGAGAUGCAUUCCCUCGCCUCUUAUGAGAAUUGACUAUUCAUUCAUGUCCCCAGUUGGAGGAAAGAUCUAGAAAUAAAAGGUGCAAAUUGGACUUUUCAUUUCUCACAUCCCAGAUUUUCAAGUUGAUGGCAAAAGAAUUCAAUGGGAGGGCCGCUAUCUAAUGAAUGAUGAAAAAAUCUUUGACUGUUUCUGUAAUGAAGGAUAAGUAUUGGUUGCCCAAAAAUUUAGCCACUCUGCUACUUGGGAAAUGAGCAUGAAAUUACAUCGUCUGUCUAUGCAAGGAGAUUUCUUGUGGCCCUUGUGUUCUUGGCAAAUGAUAAUGGAUAUGAAUUCUUUAUAAAUUUGAUUGGACUUUCACUUUCCACGUACCCUGGCUCAUCAAGUAAAAGGAAUCUCAGGGUUACAGAUGUUUACAUCCCUGAUUCAAAUUUUCUAUCUAAGAGGAACAUUAUUUAUCUUCCUCAUUUCUGAGAUAUGUUCAAAUUGGUGUCCCUCCCAAAGGGACUUCAAUAUGUUCCCACUCUGCUCGAUAAAUUGGGAACCCUAAAUCCUAGGAUUUCAAAUUUUCUAUCUAAGAGGAAUGUUAUUUAUCUUCCUUAUUUCCGAAAUAUGUUCAAAUUGGUGUCCCUCCCAAAGGGGCUUCAAUAUGUUCCCACUCUGCUCUAACUCCUAAUCGAAAGUUUUCCUAAUUGAUAUCUUUACAGGAGUGGAUGGGCAACCUCAUCGCAUUGGAAUAUUUAGAGAUAGUUAACUGUCCUCAACUAUCAGAAAGAUGCAGCAGCAACAUGGAUGUGGAUUGGCCCAAGAUUGCUGACAUUCCAAAUAUCUUAAUUGAUGGAAGAUGGAUUCAGACAUUCAGUCGAAUGGUAAUUACGAAAACCAAUUAGAAGAAUCCAUCAGACCUAUCUUCAAGUUGACAUCUUGCAAUGCUAUUAUAUCCCUUAAAAAGAGUUGUGAAUUGAUGUUCAAGAGGUUGAAAGACCACUUGUUUAGAAAACAAAGUGAGAUUCAUCAGCAUAUUGCUUCCAGACAAGUUAAACAUCAAAAACCCAUAGUUUUUACCUUCAUUUAAUUUGGAUUUUCAGGAAAAAAUGAAGUAUCCAGAAGUUCUUCCAAAAUAUGUAAAGCAUUUGUCCCAAAUUGAAGCCUUACUUAUCUUAAACCUCAUUUUCUAUCCAAGAGUAAAUUUCUGCAUGCAUAUGUUCUUGAUGAGUGGGAUAUGAAUUCUGAAUCAUUUUUACUGGACUUCACUUUCUCCGAACGCUGGUUCAUCAAGUAUGAGGAAUCACAGGGAUGCUGUUGAAAUUCUAAAAUAGGAAAGUGGAGAGCAAAUGCAAAGGGUUGCUGAAUUAAUGCAUUGGCAGAAGUUAUUAGAACAAACAUUAAAAACCAAAACAAUGUCAUGGCAGCAAUUACUUGAUUGGCUUGACAGAAUUCGCAUUCACAGAACCACAAUUAAUGGGUUUGGCCUUCCACACAUUGGAUUACAACUUUGGAGUCUGCUGCCAGAAGAUUCAUAAAAAGUGGUUGGGCAGUAAAAACAUAAUGUAAGCACUGUACUUCAAUUCUGUGUUCAAAAACAAGCAAUGCAAUGAGUAAUGCCAAAAUAUCAACAAUGUCAAAACCCUCCAUGCAGCAGUCAUCUUCAUAACUUCACUGGCGGCAAAGAUGACACAGAUGCACUAGCCUAUGCAGGUUGUGUCCUCAGCAUCCUCGAGUAAAGCUCACAGGGAUAAGAUUCCUGCUUGAUGAUAAUUCAGAAAACAUCUCUGAAAAGCUGACAGUUAUAGAAUAAAUCUUGUUGAGCUGGAAGCAGAAAUGAAACAUGUUGUAUUAGAGUGGUUCUCUGCUGCUAUAUUUUCCCAAGUUGUGUGUUCCAUUUUUGGUGGUUUCGGACUUCACAAAUGUAACAUGUUGGUCUUGUAACUGUCCCAGGUUUUUUACACUUAACAUAUAAGCCAUAUAUAGGUUGGGUUCCAUGGGGUUGAUCUGUUGAUCAAGGUCUUAGUUUGGC